rnacentral:rRNA from 1 species
GCGGCUGACGCAGUUGCACCCGAGGCCAUUAGGCCGAGGGCACACCUGCCUGGGCGUCACGC